GGAUGAACGCUAGCGGCAGGCUUAACACAUGCAAGUCGAGGGGUAUGCCGAUUUAUCGGCAGGAGACCGGCGCACGGGUGCGUAACGCGUAUGCAAUCUACCUUUCACAGAGGGAUAGCCCAGAGAAAUUUGGAUUAAUACCUCAUAGUAUAGCAAUUUCGCAUGAAACCACUAUUAAAGUUCCAACGGCAAAAGAUGAGCAUGCGUCCCAUUAGCUAGUUGGUAAGGUAACGGCUUACCAAGGCAACGAUGGGUAGGGGUCCUGAGAGGGAGAUCCCCCACACUGGUACUGAGACACGGACCAGACUCCUACGGGAGGCAGCAGUGAGGAAUAUUGGACAAUGGGCGCAAGCCUGAUCCAGCCAUGCCGCGUGCAGGAUGACGGUCCUAUGGAUUGUAAACUGCUUUUAUACAGGAAGAAACACUCCGACGUGUCGGAGCUUGACGGUACUGUAAGAAUAAGGAUCGGCUAACUCCGUG
rnacentral:rRNA from 1 species